AAAAUAAAAUAAUAAAAAUUUAAAAGUAACAAAGCAAUAAUCUACAUGGAACCAAGGAUAAAUUAUAUUAGAGACAGCUGAAACUAAUAGAAGAGCCAACAAAGAAGAUAUAAAAAAGAGUAAAACUAGAAAUUCAUUCUUUUAAAAUAGUCUAACAAAUUGCGUCUGAUUGAGACUGAUUUCCCAAAGGGGAGGGGGAAUACAAGAAGGAAAGAGAAAAAUUAUAACUCUUUGGCGCUCUCAUUAGAGAGCCAGUGGUGGGUAUCUCCCUGUAGAUUCUUGGUACUGAGUGUGGUAGAGUAUAUCACAGAAAUGGAUGAAUGGAUGGAUGGAUGGAUGUUGCCAAUCAGAAUCAGAUUUUCAGAAAGAAGAUAACCUGCUAGGUCUGGGGAUGGCAUUACCUACACUUAGGGUGAGUCUGUCUAUCUCAGCUAAACUAAUCAAGAUAGUCCCUCCAAAGUGUGUGUAGGAUCCUGUUUCCUAGGUGACUCUGCAAUCAGUCAAGAUGGCAAUCAAUAUUAACCAUCACCUUUAUAUGCACAUUUUAUGUAUGUAGUUUGUUAUUUUUAACUAGGAUUAUGUAUUACUGUAUGAUAAAUAGUGGAGUACAUUGUUUUUAAAGUAUGCUAAUAUAGAAACUUUAUCUUGGUAUCAUUAUAUAGUACAUAAAUUAUGUUCUAAUAUGUAUUGUUUGUAUCAUAUAGGUGAUAUCUUUUUAUAUUACCUCCUUUUAAAGAAGAAUUUUCUUCAAAAAGCUGUUGCUAAAAUAAUGUCACCUUUAAAUCAAGGCUAUAAGGUCACCAAGCUCAAUGUUCAUUAACUGAACUGACCACAGGAUCUGAAGAACUGAGAUGUCCUCAGUGGGAGGUCUCCCUGCAGAGGCCCUUUGAUAAGAGUGGCAGCACUCUGGGCCUUUGAUGCCUUCCACAUGGAAACUGCACUGGAAAACAACUGGGUGCAUAGGCACUCCAGCUCUAUAAGCCCAGCAUGGCGAGCCAUCCUCUAGCAGACAGCAUUUAAAUGGAACAUUCCACUGAUGGAUUUGAGUGUUAAUAAUUGAUAUUCUCGAACAAACCCCUAGAAGAGCAGAAGGACCUCACCUAGUAAGAACUGGACUCAACAAGGACCCAGCACUUUCACAAUGCAAAGGAUACCACCACAGUCUGAAACAGUCCUCUUGACUCCUUGUCCCUGGUAGUCUAAAAAACUCUCAUCUCAGGACAUGCAUUUCAAAGCCAUCUGAUUUUACUGAAGAGAUUUAGAAGGGAGUAAGAGCAUCAGAUCACUCUGCCAGCUGAGGUGGAAAGGAGACAGGGCAUCAUGGAGAAGGUGAAGAAGCCAGUUCUGCCAUCAUGCAGGUACUACGGAGGCACAUGCCAUUCUUCAUGAGUCUUUUGCCAUCUGUUUUGUUCACUACCACACUCUCAUUUUCUCCCCCCAUAUUGGCACUCAAUACAAAUUGGUGGAAUCAAGGAAAGAAUGAAUUUUUGCCAUCUGCAAACAUCAAAGACCAUAAUCAACUAAUAUUAGUCAGCCUGCUGUUACUACAAUGAAACACCAAAGGCUUCUAACUUUGGAAAAGAAAACAGGUUGGUCUACAUCAGCUUCAGAGGCCCCAAAGCAUGAUUUCUGCAUUAGUUCAAUUGAGUUGAGAGCAGAUGGUAGCACAGCCAGGCAGGAGGGUGUGUAGGAGCACAUUUCAAAAGAAAGCAGGAGGAGGAAGAACAUAAAGACACAAGAGUCCUGUAACUACUGUCAUACAUGUGAAACAAUGAUUUAAUUACUCCAAUAUGCCCUACCUCCCUAAGAUACCAUUUCCCAAGAUUUCCACCCUGAGAACAAAGCCCUUACCUACUAACCAUCAGAGGACACAGGUUAUACCUAAAUCAUAUCUCAAGUCAUAUAUAAUUGUUUCAAGCUAUGAGUAGAUUUUAUCACCCUUCUCUCAUUCCCUCAACUCUCCCUCCCUCCCUCUUCCUCCUG
rnacentral:sRNA from 1 species